GCCGGGGUAGCUCAGCCAGGUGGAGCACUCGGCUGUUAACCGAGGGGUCCCGGGUUCAAAUCCCGGCCCCGGCGCCA
rnacentral:tRNA from 1 species